rnacentral:rRNA from 1 species
UUCCGGUUGAUCCUGCCGGACCUGACUGCUAUCGGAUUGAUACUAAGCCAUGCGAGUCAUUGUAGUAAUACAAGGCAGACGGCUCAGUAACGCGUAGUCAACCUACCCUAUGGACGGGGAUAACCUCGGGAAACUGAGAAUAAUACCCGAUAGAACAUUAUACCUGGAAUGGUUUAUGUUUCAAAUAAUUUAUUGCCGUAGGAUGGGACUGCGGCCUAUCAGUUUGUUGGUGAGGUAAUGGCCCACCAAGACUAUUACAGGUACGGGCUCUGAGAGGAGUAGCCCGGAGAUGGGUACUGAGACACGGACCCAGGCCCUAUGGGGCGCAGCAGGCGAGAAAACUUUGCAAUGUGCGAAAGCACGACAAGGUUAAUCCGAGUGGUUUCUGCUAAAGGAACCUUUUGUCAGUCCUAGAAACACUGGUGAAUAAGGGGUGGGCAAGUUCUGGUGUCAGCCGCCGCGGUAAAACCAGCACCUCAAGUGGUCAGGAUGAUUAUUGGGCCUAAAGCAUCCGUAGCCUGCUUUGUUAGUUUUCGGUUAAAUCCAUGCGCUCAACGUAUGGGCUGCCGGGAAUACUGCAAAGCUAGGGAGUGGGAGAGGUAGACGGUACUCGGUAGGAAGGUUAUAGGCCCCAGGUCAACUU